rnacentral:lncRNA from 1 species
GGCGGUCCAAGUCCAGACCCCUCGGACUCCCUGAUCCAAUUGAUCACCGUGGCCUUCCCAUAUGCGCGAGGUUAUCUAUUUUCUGAAAAUGCCAAAAGAGCUGCUUGGAAUCCCUUCCUUCCUCGAUCUCCCCGAUCUUCCCCUAAAAACCCCCGACGCAUCCCAAAUAGGGUCGAAUUAUGCCUCCCCUGUCUCUAUUGUUCUUCUCCAACUCCGUCGAGUGGAUCGGGAAGCAGGGCAGGCCUUAAAAUCCUU